UCCAUUUCUUCAUCUUCUUCUUUUUAUCCUCCUCUUAGUUCUUAGAUCUACACAAAUAAACAAACAAUAAUAAGAAAACAAGAACAAAAAUCAUAUUAGACAAAUAAGUAAGAGAUAGAUAUAAGGUCUAUGAAAGAAUGUGAGAUUGGACAAAACCUAAUUUACCUCUGCAGCCGCCAUGACUAUUGAAUGUUUUCAAUUAAAGCUUUCUUAACCCAAGUUUGUUACAAGCAGUUACCUUUUAUAUCAGAUUGGCUUAGUAAAAGAAAGCUAAACCAACCGGUACAAUACAUAACCGAAUAUAUAUAGAUGAUCUAAUACGCCCCCCUCAAGCCGAUGAUGCGGAAGUCAGAAGUGAAGAAGAAGAUGGAGUGAAGAGGCUUGAAGUGGACAUACGAGCAAGAAUGGAGGUGAAAGGACCCGACUGCAACGGCUUAGUGAGAAUGUCAGCGUGUUGAUUAGAACUCGAGACAUUCAUCAACCAAAGAAAGCCGUUCUUGACUUGAUCACGAACCGUAUGACAGUCGAUUUCCACAUGCUUCGUGCGCUCAUGGAAAACAGGAUUGGUUGCAAUGUAAAUUGCGGACUUGCUGUCACAGAAAAGCUUCGCCUGAGUGGUAACGUGGACACCAAGAAACGUAAGAAGUUGUUGGAACCAAAGAAGUUCACAAGUCGCAUGCGCCAUACUUCGAUACUCUGCUUCAGUGCUGCUGCGACUAACCACAUCCUGCUUCUUAGAUUUCCAAGUUAUUAGAGAAGAACCAAGGUAAACACAAUAACCAGUGAUGGAGCUUCUGCUGUCAGCACAAGCACCCGAAUUUGAAUCAGCAAAGGCGUUGAGACAUAGUUCUGAAGAAGCAGAGUAGAAUAGACCUUGGCCGGGGUUAUUCUUGAUGUAUUUGAGAAUCCUGUGUGCAGCCUGAAGAUGUACAUCCGUCGGAGCAGACAUAAACUGACUGAGACAGUGUACAGAGUAAGUGAUAUCAGGCCGCGUGAUCGUAAGAUAUAGCAAACGACCAAUCAAAGCACGAAAAGAUGUCGGAUCAUCCAAGAGAGUGUCUGAAGUCUUGCGUAGUUUAGCAACAGGAUCCAUCGGAACCGAAGAUGGUUUACAAGCCAAUAAGCCUGCAUCAGAGAGAAGAUUCAAAGCAUACUUCCGUUGGCAAAUAGAAAUACCAGCAGCAGUACGCGCAAUCUCAAGACCUAAGAAGAAUCGCAAAUCACCCAAGUCUUUGAUCUUGAAAUGUUGAUGAAGUGUGUUCUUAAGCGUCUGGACCGCAUGUUCAUCAUUGCUAGCGAUCAUAAUAUCAUCAACAUAAAUGAGAAUCGCAGUGAAAGAGGCACCAGAACGUCGAACAAACAAAGUGUUAUCUAAGGGAGACUGAAGAUAGCCAGCAGCAAAGAGGACAUCAGUGAGACAAUGGUACCAUUGCCUCGAUGCUUGCUUAAGACCGUAGAUAGAUUUAUUCGAGAGACAGACAUGAUUAGGAGGUAGAGUCGUGCCAGGAGGUGGAGUGUAAACUUGAGGGAGGCUCAUGUAGAUUUCUUCAUCAAGAUCACUGUGAAGAAAUGCGUUUGAUACAUCCAUCUGACUCAACUUCAGACCUUUAACAGCAGCAAGACCAAGAAGGAGUUUCACAGAGGCCAAUUUAGCAACCGGAGAACACGUAUCAGUGUAAUCAACACCUUCCUGUUGUGUAUAUCCCUUUGCAACCAAGCGAGACUUUCGUUGUUCAACAGUCCCAUAUGCUUUAUACUUCAUGGUAAAGACCCAUUUGCACCCAACCACAUUAUUUCCAGGAGGAAGAGAAACAACUAACCAAGUAUGAUUAUCUUCCAUAGCAUGUAGUUCAUCAUCAGUUGCUUUACGAAAUUCAGGCGAUAACAUGGCUUGUUUGAAUGUUGUAGGUUCAGGGUCAAUGGAAUAAGACAGAAGGAAUUGUUGAUAUAGAGGUUUGAGGUUUGAAUAGGUAUGAACAGAAUCAAGAGGGUAAAGAGAAGAGGAAGAUGGAAGAGACGUAUGAUGAAUAAAAGAACAAUGAUACUCAGAGAGAUAACCUGGAGUACGAGCAUUCCGUUGUGGCCUUGUGCGAAGUAGUUGACUCUGUCCAGUCACUGGGGGAACAGGUUCUCUAGUAACAGUCACAGGAGGCAAUGCAGAUGUAGAUGAAGAAGAUGCAGUAGAUGCAGGUAAAGAAACAUGAUUCAAUUGAACAACAAAAUCUAAAGCAACAGGAGUAGACAUCGGUAAAACAGUUUUAGGAAACAUGUUAUCAAGAGAAACCGAACCAGGUAUUGUAUGAUAAGGGAAAAUAUGUUCUUUAAAUGUGACAUUUCGAAAGACAAAGAUUCUUUGAGUAUCUAUGUUUAAAACUUUAUAACCUUUGUAACCUGGAGAGUAUCCUAAGAAAACACAAGGAUCAGCACGAGGUGUGAACUUAUUCAUAUCCUUAUCAUGAGUAGACACAAAACAAAGACAACCAAAUGAUCGCAAGAAUGAAUAGUCAGGUUGCUUGUUCAUCAAUUUCUCAUAUGGUGAUCGUUAAGAAGAAUAGAAGGAGUUCGAUUAAUAAGAAACACAGCUGUGGAAACACAAUCAGUCCAAUAUAUCAAAGGUACUUUUGAUUGAAAUAACAAAGCGCUAGCCACAUUCAAAAUAUGUUGGUGCUUACGCUCAACAACAGAGUUUUGUGGAGGAGUGUAUGCACAAGAAAAUUGGUGAAUCAUACCAGUUUUGCGAAUGAGAUCAGUAAAUGCAAGCUCAGGAGCAUUGUCAGUACGAAUUGAUUUCACAGUUGCAUUAUAUUGUGUAUUAACAUGCUUAAGAAAGUCAGGGAAUACUGAAGCAACAUCACUUUUAUUCUUUAAAAAAUAUAUCCAAGUUACACGGGUACAAUCAUCAACCAAAGUGAGAAAAUAUCUAAAACCCUCUAUUGAUUCUACUGAAAAAGGACCCCAUACAUCCAUAUGAACUAAAGCAAAAGGUAAAGAAGACAAGUGAUUAUGAGAAAUGUAUGGUAGGCGUCUUUGCUUAGCUAAAAGACAUACAAGACAAUCUUCAACAUUAGACAGAGAGGACUUUGUAAUACCCGGAACAUGAAGUAACUUUGCAAUAGGAGUGUGACCAAGACAUUGAUGCCAGAGAUGUGCAUCAUCCAAUACGGAACCACAUAAACUAGAAGAAGAACUAGAUGCAGUAAUACGUGCAUCGAGAACGUAAAGAUUGUUGUAAACAAAACCUCUACCAAUCGUCAAUCCCUGAGUAGAUUCCUGAAUUAAACAUUGAUCAACAUAGAAGUGAGCAGAGGAAUUGUUAUCAACAAGCGAACAAUGAACACUUAUAAGAUUGAAACGAAAUGAAGGCACAUAGAGAACAUUAUGCAAAGUGAUAGUUGGUGACACAAUGAUACUGCCUAUAUGAUUGAUGGGUUCUUUGUGACCAUUAGGAAGAGAAACCAUAACACCAGUGACAGAAGAGAGGUCACUAAAAGCAGCAAGGUCAGAGCAGACAUGUGUCGUAGCCCCACUGUCAACAAUCCAAGAACCACUAGGCAGGGAAUUAUAUGAAGAUGAAAGACAUUCAUGGUUAUAUGUAAGUGUUUGGUUUUCAAAACGAAGGUUGGAGGAAAGAGAAAGAAUUAUACCAGAUGAUGAUUGAGCAGCCAUGUGACCUUGUUCAGUUAUAGUAGCAUGUUGAUGUUGAACCACAGUCUCUGAAGGACGAAAAAUAGCUUGGAGUUGCUGAAGAAUGUACUGAACUUGAUCUUGGCUCAAACAGCUAAGUUCCAAAUUCGAGUGAGGUGGGAGAGAAGGAUUCAUCAGGGGAGCAUUAGUGACAUUCGCAACAGUGUUACUAGGAGGAUAUGAAGUAUGCUGAUGCUGAUUCUGAGGGCGAGGAUAACCACUCUGAUUCUGAUGUCCUCGAGGAGUCGGAAAAGAAGAUUGAUCUCUCGGUGCUUGACCAUGAAAGCGGUGACCCGGAGGAUAACCAUGAAUCUUGAAACAUUUCUGAAGAAUAUGUCCAUAUUGACCACAGUAGGUACACAAAGGUCGUGACUUAGGACGAUAGCCAUGCUGAUACUGAGCAGCAAGAACUGGACUUUCAGAAGGAGAAAUCAGCUCCGGUACAGAACCAGUAGCUUGGAAAACCACAGCAUCAGACUUCACAGGUGGCUUGAUGUUCUUCUGUCGCUCAUCUUGAGUGAUCAUGUUAAUCUGGCUCUGAUACCAUAUUGAAUGUUUUCAAUUAAAGCUUUCUUAACCCAAGUUUGUUACAAGCAAUUGCCUUUUAUAUCAGAUUGGUUUAGUAAAAGGAAGUUAAACCAACCGGUACAAUACAUAACCGAAUAUAUAUAGAUGAUCUAAUAAUGACAAAACCAAGAAGAAUAGGAGGCACAUGGAGCAGAGGAGGAGUGAGGCGUCACGGAGCAGAGGAGGAGGGAGGCGUCACGGAGGAAAGAGAAAUACAGAGAAGGCGUCAUGGUGGACUUGUCGCUGCCUUUAAGAUUAGGAUGAAUUAUUAUGGGCUGAUAACAAUGCUUCGGUGUGAACUCAUCACUUAGAAAAUCUUAGAGAGACAGAUAGUGGAAUACAUAGAAAGAGAAGAUAAGAUUCGUAGGGGUGAGAGGAAAGAGAGAAAAUGAAAUAAAUAAAUAAAAGAAAAUUUCAGUUAAUU
rnacentral:lncRNA from 1 species